GACGAACGCUGGCGGCGUGCCUAAUACAUGCAAGUCGAACGAAGCUGUUUUAACUGGUGCUUGCACCUACUUAAACAACUGAGUGGCGAACGGGUGAGUAACACGUGGGUAACCUGCCCCAAAGCGGGGGAUAACAUUUGGAAACAGAUGCUAAUACCGCAUAACCACAGAUACCACAUGGUUUCUGAGUCAAACAUGGUUUAGGCUAUAACUUCGGGCAGGACCCGUGGCGUAUUAGCUAGUUAGUAAGGUAAUGGCUUACCAAGGCAAUGAUACGCAGCCGAACUGAGAGGUCGAUCGGCCACAAUGGGACUGAGACACGGCCCAUACUCCUACGGGAAGCAGCAGUAGGGAAUCUUCCACAAUGGGCGCAAGCCUGAUGGAGCAACACCUCGUGAGUGAAGAAGGGUUUCGGCUCGUAAAACUCUGUUGUUAAAGAAGAACGUAUCUAAGAGUAACUGCUUAGGUAGUGACGGUAUUUAGCCAGAAAGCCACGGCUAACUACGUGCCAGCAGCCGCGGUAA
rnacentral:rRNA from 1 species